AUAUCAAUAAGCGGAGGAAAAGAAACCAACAGGGAUUGCCUCAGUAACGGCGAGUGAAGCGGCAAGAGCUCAACUUUGGAAUCGCUGCGGCGAGUUGUAGUCUGGAGGUGGCCGGUCCCGGCGCCAGCGCGCAGCCAAGUCCUUUGGAACAAGGCGCCUGAGAGGGUGACAGCCCCGUGGCAGUUUGUGCUGGUGCCGCCUCGGCCCACCGACGAGUCGAGUUGUUUGGGAAUGCAGCUCUAAGUGGGUGGUAAAUUCCAUCUAAAGCUAAAUACCGGCGAGAGACCGAUAGCGAACAAGUACAGUAAUGGAAAGAUGAAAAGCACUUUGAAAAGAGAGUGAAACAGUACGUGAAAUUGUUGAAAGGGAAGGGCUUGCACCCAGACACGGCCUUCUGGCCGGGCCAGCAUCGGGUGGGAGGGAGCGACAACGAGCAGUCGAUGUAGUACAGCCCUCUGGGCUGUGCAUUAUACGUCUUGCUUUCUGGCUCCUCUCCCGCCCGAGGACCGCAGCAAUAAGGAUGCUGGCGCAAUGGUU
rnacentral:rRNA from 1 species